UGGGGAAUUUUGCACAAUGGAGGAAACUCUGAUGCAGCGACGCCGCGUGAGUGAUGAAGAUCUUCGGAUUGUAAAACUCUGUCCUUAGUGAAGAUAAUGACAGUAACUAAGAAGCAAGCCCUGGCUAAAUACGUGCCAGCAGCCGCGGUAAUACGUAUGGGGCAAGCGUUGUCCGGAAUUAUUGGGCGUAAAGGGUACGUAGGCGGUUUAAUAAGUCCUAAUUAAAAGGCUAUGGCUCAACCAUAGUAUGGUUAGGAAACUGUUGAACUUGAGUAGAUGAGGGGAAAGUGGAAUUCCAUGUGUAGCGGUGAAAUGCGUAGAUAUAUGGAGGAACACCAAUGGCGAAGGCAACUUUCUGGAAUCAAACUGACGCUGAGGUACGAAGGCGUGCGGAGCAAACAGG
rnacentral:rRNA from 1 species